GAUGAACGCUAGCGGCAGGCCUAAUACAUGCAAGUCGGACGGGAUUCAGGAGCUUGCUUCUGAUGAGAGUGGCGCACGGGUGCGUAACACGUAUGUAACCUACCUUUAUCAGGGGGAUAGCCUCUCGAAAGAGAGAUUAAGCCCGCAUAAAAUCACAGCACAGCAUUGUGUAAUGAUCAAAUAUUUAUAGGAUAAAGAUGGGCAUGCGGAACAUUAGCUAGAUGGCGGGGUAACGGCCCACCAUGGCGACGAUGUUUAGGGGAUCUGAGAGGAUGGCCCCCCACACUGGUACCGAGACACGGACCAGACUCCUACGGGAGGCAGCAGUAAGGAAUAUUGGUCAAUGGGCGGAAGCCUGAACCAGCCAUGCCGCGUGCAGGAAGACGGCCCUACGGGUUGUAAACUGCUUUUAUACGGGAAUAAACCCAGAUACGUGUAUCUGGCUGAAUGUACUGUAAGAAUAAGGAUCGGCUAACUCCGUG
rnacentral:rRNA from 1 species